rnacentral:rRNA from 1 species
UACGUAGGGGGCUAGCGUUGUCCGGAAUCAUUGGGCGUAAAGCGCGUGUAGGCGGUCCGGUAAGUCCGCUGUGAAAGUCGAGGGCUCAACCUCGAAUGCCGGUGGAUACUGUCGGGCUUGAGUACGGGAGAGGCGAGUGGAAUUCCUGGUGUAGCGGUGAAAUGCGCAGAUAUCAGGAGGAACACCGAUGGCGAAGGCAGAUCUCUGGGCCGUAACUGACGCUGAGGAGCGAAAGCAUGGGGAGCGAACAGG